rnacentral:rRNA from 1 species
AGUGAACGCUGGCGGUAGGCCUAACACAUGCAAGUCGAACGGCAGCACAGUAAGAGCUUGCUCUUACGGGUGGCGAGUGGCGGACGGGUGAGGAAUACAUCUGAAUCUACUUUUUCGUGGGGGAUAACGUAGGGAGACUUACGCUAAUACCGCAUACGACCUACGGGUGAAAGCAGGGGAUCUUCGGACCUUGCGCGAUUGAAUGAGCCGAUGUCGGAUUAGCUAGUUGGCGGGGUAAAGGCCCACCAAGGCGACGAUCCGUAGCUGGUCUGAGAGGAUGAUCAGCCACACUGGAACUGAGACACGGUCCAGAAUCCUACGGGAGGCAGCAGUGGGGAAUAUUGGACAAUGGGCGCAAGCCUGAUCCAGCCAUACCGCGUGGGUGAAGAAGGCCUUCGGGUUGUAAAGCCCUUUUGUUGGGAAAGAAAAGCAGCAGGUUAAUACCCCGCUGUUCUGACGGUACCCAAAGAAUAAGCACCGGCUAACUUCGUG